rnacentral:misc_RNA from 1 species
GAUGAAGAACGUAGCGAAAUGCGAUAAGUAAUGUGAAUUGCAGAAUUCAGUGAAUCAUCGAAUCUUUGAACGCACAUUGCGCCCGCUAGUAUUCUGGCGGGCAUGCCUGUUCGAGCGUCAUUUCAACCAUCAAGCCCCAGCGCUUGUGUUGGGGGCCUGCGGCUGCCGCAGCCCCCUAAAAGCAGUGGCGGGCUCGCUAUCACACCGAGUGCAGUAGUUCAUCUUCUCUCCGGUCUUGUGAGGCGGGUUCCGGCCGUGAAACACCCCACUACAUUCAAGGUUGACCUCGGAUCAGGUAGGAAUACCCGCUGAACUUAAGCAUAUCAAUAAGCGGAGGA